UCCAUUUGUAAUAUAGACUGUUAAAUGUGGAAGAAAUUUUAUUAGAUAUUUCUUCAUUUGUUUGGAUAAGAGUGCAAUAAAUGAUCAAACGAUGGAAAGAGAAAUCGAGUUUGUAAAUUCAAAUAUUCAUGAAUGAGACGACGAAGAGUGAAGAACAAAGAUUGGGUUCAUUUUUCUCAAAGAUGUUUACAUUAAUAUAGAAAAUAGAGAAGUCAAAUUAUAUCAAUUUCAAUAUUGGGAGAAACUGAAGAAAUUCAAAAGAAAGAUAUAAAAAAUAUUAAUUCUGAUAAAAUAAAUAAAAUUAUUCUAAACUUUAAAAAAUUAUGUAAAAUAAAAAGUAUGUAAUCCUUGUAAUCCUUAUGUUCUCUCAUGAAUAAUAUCACGAAAUCGUAAAAUUAUAAUUGUUAAUGUAUUAAAAAAAAUUGACAAUUAGAAAUAAAAAACUUGAUAAAUAAAUUCAGAUUACAAUUCUAACAACAAUAUUUAUUGAUCUAAAAGAUAAAAUAAUUGAUCUAUUUGUCACUAUAU